GCCUCUCGGAGGAGGGAUGUGGGUUUGAAAGGCACAAUAAAGACUUUUCAAACCGCUGAGCGUGGUUUGUGUGGCACCUGAAAAUGUCACCAGGCAAUGAAAUGCCUGAAAUGCUGCCUGGGCCCUGCCAGGGGGGUUGCAAGGCACAGGUUUGGACCCCUUUCAGCCCAAGGAUUAAAGGAACGCGCUUUGAAAAAGAGAAAUGGAAAAGAAGGUUUGGGCUUUUCCAAGUGUUCAGAUUUGCAGAAAUGCUGAGAGGUUGAUGAUAGCACACAAAGGCCAAGAGCACUCCAGUAAUUACUGAAACUGCCAAUGAAGAAACAACUACAAAGCAAGAAUCAAAUGUGUGCUAUAAAUAAGAAGAAGAAACAAGAACCACCUGUGCAAAACAAGAAAAUCUACCAUUCCCUAUUCAUCCUUAACAAAUAAACCUGGGAAAUUUUGGCAGGGAGCUUGAACAGCCCCCAGCUUGUCCCUGUGGGCAAACAGGGCUGGCAGCUCAGGAGGGAAGAACUGUACGGUUUAUCCCUGGGAAAUCUGUUUGGAAAGCAAAAUACAUUGGAACCACAGCGAAUUUUCCUGCACUCCACAAUUCAAGGCUCUUUGGAUUAUCAAAGCAGGAACUGGUACUUCCAGACUGGUACCAAAGAGAAUAUUGUGACUGAACAUCAGCUCUGCAAAACAAAAGGAGGUUGGCUGCAGUUUGAUUUAUGUGGAGAGACUCAGGCAAAUUCUGCACCAGCCACAACAUUCAUUAUGCAAAGGGAAAGCGCCGGGCUGCUAACACAGGGAGCUGGGAAAACACGGACCGGAUUCCUGCUGGAGUCCGGAAUGGAGUCGGCAAAAGUGAAAAUUUGGACUAGAUUUCUCCAAGGUUCCGGAAUGGAGUCGGAAAAAUGGAAAACCCGGGCAGGAUUCCAGCCGGAGUCUGGAGUGGAGUCAGCAAAAGGGAAAACCUAGACCGGAUUCCAGUCAGAGUCCGGAAUGGAGUUGGCAAAAAUGAAAACCCAGACCGGAUUCCAGCCAGAGGCCGGAAUGGAGUCAGCAAAAGGGAAAACUGGGACCGGAUUUCCCCUGGAGUCCAGAAUGGAGUUGGCAAAUGAAGAAACCUGGACCAGACUUCCCUGGAGUCCGGAAUGGAGCUGGCAAACCAGAAAACCUGGACUGGAUUCCAGCCAGAGUCUAGAAUGGAUUUAGUAAAACAGAAAACCUGGACUGGAUUUUUCCCCAGAGUCCGGAAUGGAGUCAGCAAAAAUGAAAACCCAGACCAGACUCUUGCCAGAGUCAGGAAUGGAGUCGAGGGAAAGAAAAACUCGGACCCGGACCAGAUUCCGGCCAGAGUCUGACAUGGAAUUGGCAAAAGGGAAAACCCAGACCGGAUUUCUCCCAGAGUCUGGGAUUGAGUCGGCAAAGGGAAAACCUGGACUGGAUUUCUUCAGGAGUCCAGGAUUGGGUCGGCAAAAGGGAAAACCUGGACUGGAUUCCAACCAGAGUCCGGAAUGGAGUUGGCAAAAGGAAAACUGCUUUUGAGAUUGCAGUUGUUUUGGAUCAUUUUAAAGUUUUUUUUUCUAACCUUCUAAUGAAUUAUUCAAUCUCUCAGAGCAUUUUCCAGAUGUGAGAUAUUGUUCUGCAAUUCUUAACUCCAUUAGUUUUUCAACAAUCGUGACUUUAGCAAAAAGAUCUGAAUUUUUCCAUUGACAUCUAUACUCGGACGAGAUUCAUGGUGAAGCCAAAUGAAACGAGAAAUAAAAAAAUCUGUAUUUCUGAUACUGCCAAAUCUCUAAGGAGAAGUUAAGGAAUGAAGACAAAUAUCAGAUGAGUGGCUGUAUUCCUUUGCUGAGUAUAUUUAAAUAUGUUUUACUCCCUUUUUUCUUUUUUAUUCUCCCCAGACCUGCCUCCUGUCCCAGUCUAUAAACCAUUCUCUAACUGUGCUCUUAUCUGACCUGGUUUCCAUCCAGAUGAGUAUUUCCAAGCCCUCACCUGAUACCAGACCUCUUUUAUUUUAAUCAGUCUCUACCCCAUUAUCUUUCUCAAACUGCAGCUCAGUUUACCCCUUCAAUUUCUGCUUCCCCUUCCCAUUCACAGUUGAUCUUUCUGUAUUUAAUCCUGGUUCCCUUCCCAUUCAGGCCCACUUAUUCCCAGAUUCCCAUUGAGGGUUUGCUGACCCUCCCUGUUACUCUGUUUUCACCCUUUUGCAUUUGCAGCAGCUCAGGUGCCCUCUCCAUUCAGAAACCCAAUUUUUAGGAACAGGAUCACUGAUCCCAAAGGAGACCUAGGCUUUUCCCCUAAAGCUGCAUCCACUCUCCCCGGAGCAUCUAAGAGCAGGAUUACACCUGGGAUUGUUCAUAACUGUCAGCUUUCCAAGGAUUUCCUGAGUGUGAAUGAGGAUGUGCGGGAAAAAAGAAUAAUAAUAAAAUAUCCUAGAAUUUAUUUUUUAAGCUGUUUAUGGCAACAGGUGUAGAGCUUCAUGUUACAUGUCCCAGAACAAGCUUUGGUGUCAGUUCAGUGCUCAGAGAAUUUUGCUGGAGCUGCUGAGCACCUUCAGGUGUUCAGACAGGACUGGGUAAUGUGGCUGAGACCUGGAAUGUGACUGAAAACUGGAAUGUGACCCCAGCCCAGGGACCCUCCUGUGACUCUCCCCUGCUGGUGCCUGCACCCCUCCUGCUCCCCACAGCCGAGGCUCCUGACACAGAAGGUCUUUGCCAAGUUCUGUGUAAUGCAGGCACAUAUCCUUGCAGGCUUUGAAUUUUGAUCUUAUAAAGCUGUCAAUAUUAUUCACUUCUUGUGUAGUGACAGGCAAUCACCUCAAACCUGACAAAUAUUGAGUAAUCUGCUCAACCUUUUGCCAUUCAGAGGGAAGCUGACAAAUCUUUCUUCUUGGCUAUCUUGUUUGUAACAACUUUUUUGACCAAAGAACAGCACUUUUUCUUCAGACAGCAGAAAUCUCCAUCCCAAACUUCCUGACAUUCAGCAAGCAAGUCAUCUGUGUGCAGGAGCCCACACAGUGUAAAAGCAGCAUAAUUCCCAUUUCUUCCUUCAAACAAUUAUUUUAAAUUCAUCUUACUGUGAGAGAACAGGCUUAAAAUAGGCUCCAUACUUGAAUAUUAGUUCCAGCUUUCAGCAAAGCAGAUUUCAGUGAAUUGUGAGGCAUCUCUGUUACCUGAUGCCAAACCCAACUGCUUUGAUGUUAAGAUAAAAACAUCCUGAAUCUAUCCAGCAGGACAAGGAAAACACAUUUUAUGUGUUACUUACACUCUCAUUUGUUCCUUGCCAAAAAGACAGUGCUUUAAAAGCUUUUAAACUAUUCACAUUUCUAACUUGAGCAUUGCAAUGUUUGUGACCUUUCUAUGCAGUUUGUGCCUGCAGGGAUGCUCUGGUGGUCCAUCAGAGCAGAGGCUGGACACUGGCAUCACCUCUUAUUUAAAUUGUGGGAGAAUCCAAAGAAGAGAGAUGCUAAUGAGGAGGGAAUGAUCUCUCCAGACACGUUGUUCAUAGCACAUAUUGAUUUCUAGCAUGUCAUGGCAAGCAAAAGUUUAACAACCAUAAUUUUAUGAAAAUGACAAUUGAACAGCACAUCUGGUGAGAAUUCAUUUAUGCUUUUUACAUUUUUAACAACCUGGCUAUUUUUACUCUCCUCAUCCUCUCAAAGGGAGUACAAUGUAAUGAAGCAUGGAGCUGGAACUAGGCCACACCUCAGCUGGAAAAUGUCAAAUUCUAUUACGCCAUCCUCAAAAGCAUAAAUCAUAGCUGCACAUUUUUAAAGGUAUAAAUGAGGGAGGGAACACCAUAAAACAUUUAUUUGCAAUGUAUUUAUUGUACAGAAUGGUAGAGUAUGGGAUUGUAUUUAUGUAAUGCAGAAAUACACAAAACAUUUUAAAGUUGAAAUCUGUGAUACUGUGUUUCUUCUCUCUGCUGAGAAAUCCCUUUGCACACUGAACUUUCUUGCAUUUCAUUUUUCUGGUUGUCAGCUAACAAACUAGCCCGCUCAAUGUUAGUUCCUCUGUCACUUAAAAUCCUUAUUUUAUAUAGGACAAUAAUUUUAAUUGUCUUAAGUUUAAAUAAAUACUUGACUAGUAUAACAACCAGGAGUCCACACUUCAUUUUUAAUAUUAAAUUUUACCUGUCAUGCAUUGUUUCCCAUGUUUCAUUGUUUAAAAUUAUGUAUGGGGAAGAAGCUCUGUCUCUUUGGCAGCAGUAGUUCCACAGUUCAUAACUAUUCAAAUAAAUAAAUAGCAUUUACUGAGCAUUUAGGAGGAGGAAGGAAGGUUGUUAAACUGUCUUGCUUUCUCUCACUAUUCCUGUUUUCUUCAAUAUUCCUUUUAUCCCAAGAGGUUUUAACUGUGGAAGUCUGACCCUAUUUACAACAAUUUUGUCUUUCUGGAUGUGUUCAAUACCUCUCAAUUCUGUAACACAGUUUUUAAAGGAUUUUCCAGGAUAUUCUGUAUAAUAUGGUUAGAUGACAUUUAUGGGGACAGCUGAUACGCUACAUAAUAAUGUGAUUAUAUAUAUAUUCAUGAGAUAUUUUUGCCUGCCAUUCACCCUGGAGCAGGGGAGGGUCUCAGAAGAGUAUUUAAAAAACUUGUACAACCUAAGAAUACUAGUAGGGUGAUAGACAUUACAGAUUAUGCUAUAUUCAAAGUAUAAAAAAUUGGCUACAUUCAUUAUUACAUAAAUAAAGUGGACUCAAACUCAAUUCACUGCUACCACUAAAACUAUUGUACAAAUCACAUUACUUAUUAACUAGUAAAAAUUAAAAUGGACUCAAACUCAAUUCACUGCUACCACUAAAACUAUUAUACAGAUCACAUUACUUAUUAUCUAGUAAACAUGUUCUUAAUUUCAUCUCCAACUUCUCUACCCCUACAGCCUUUGAGAGACAACUUGCCAGUUGAAAACCAUUUUGAGAGCCGCUUGCAAAACAGAAUUCUGCCUUCUGAGGCCCAUUUUGCUCUGAGCAGAUUCUCCUACCUUAAACAGCCAGUCUCUGUGCCCUCGGAAGCUCCUGGAUUGAGCAGGAUGAGGAUUCUCCCUGGAAUGCCUGGAUGGAGACACAGCUGUGCUUGGAAUGUUUUACCUCAGCAGAACCCCAACAAGCCUCACCUUUCCCUUCCAUAAACUCUGGACACCAAAAUUCACCCAAAUUCAGAGAACAUUACCAGUGAAACCCCGAAAUCACCCUGGAUCUGCACUCCUGCCAUUCCUGGCUGCCACUGACUGUUGCCCUCCUCUCUUUGCACCUGCUGAGGAUUUUGGGGACUCUCUCCACUUCUGCACAAAACGAAGGGCAAAGAAUGAGAGACCCUUCUGUGGAAUUCACACUGCAUCCAUCAUUUUCCUGGCCAGAGCAGGGACAUCAGCUUUUACUGGCCAUGAGUAACUGGGAGAUUUCAUCCAGAGGGUUCCCCCACCCUCCAGAAUCAGCAAGGCUGAGGAUGCUGUGGGAUUUGAUGGUUCCUGCCCAUGCCCAGGGUUAUCAGUGAUCUGAUGGCAUUGCAGAGCUGGGAGGGCGCUGGGCACAGGGCUGAGGCUGCAUUUGGAGCUGGUGAAAUGCCAGUUCUCUACAGAUUCAUUUAUUGUACUCAACAAUAUCACUGUAAUCUCCAUUUGAUAUCCCUUUCCCCAUCUGUAGGGGAGGAUCAGGAGGAUCUUUCCUGUCCCUGUGUCCCCAAACUCUCCCUAUUUGGGGAUCCACACACAGCCCUGUCCCACAGAAUGGGUGAGGUCUGGGGGAUGAAGGCAGGGCUCAGAUCUGGGCUGUGCACCCUUUCCUUAAACCAGACAAAAUCAGGGCUCAAACUUCCAAAACUUCCCUUCUUUGCUAUGGAAAUUUGUUAAUUGUGACAUUUCAGACCCUAUUAGAGUCCAUAUGAAAACUUGGCAUCACUAAUUGUUUUACAAUUUAUAGCAUCAAAGUCUCCCCAGCUGUCCAAAAUUAUUUCAUCCUGGUACUUUCUGCUAUGACUUUAUAGUUUGAUGCACUCACACUAUACCAGCACUUUUUACACCAGUACCAACUAUAAAGUUUAUAUGCAUCACCUUUAUAGCAUAAGUAAGGACUAUGAAAUGUUGUCUUUCUGCUACUGAUUUGUGCAUCAUUAUGUUGAGAGAAAGCAACAGCUGUAAGGACAAAAUAACACUUAUUUCACCACCCACAGGAACAUGAAAUUGCAUAUAUUGUUUUUAAAAUUAGCUAUCACAUGUAAAGUUCAAUUGUAUAUAGCUAAAUAAUAAAAGUAAGUGCAUUUUUAGGUGCUCUUCAAAUGGGGUCACAGUGCUGAUGAAGUUGUCAGUAUUUCUCUGAUUUUAUGAGAUUCCAGGGGCAGUGAUGAGAUGUGUGGCACACAGGUACAAGUGGCCAAUUUAAAAACGCCCUAAAUAUAACUUGAUGGGCUAAUCACAUUUACAGUCCACAAAAUGUGCAUGAAUGCAUAAUGAUGUGAGAAAAACACAUCCAGUGAGGAAAUAAUAAACUAUCCAAGUGAAUAUGUAUUAUUCACUGCUAAUUUUAAUUAAGACUCAGUCUUAAUUCCCGUGUACAAAAUAGAAAAUAUGUAUUUUGGAAAAGAGUUUCCACAUCAUCAUUUUGAAUUUUUUUCUUCAGUUAGGAGUGGGUAAAUGUAUUUUUAAAGCAGAGUUUUUUAGGAUUCUCUGGGUCUCCAACCUGUGCCUGGAUGUUUGCAAACCCCACAGGAGGGCUCAGGGCUCACAUUUCCUACAAACUCUGCCCCCCCAGGGCAAGGACAGCACAAACCAUGAGGAAAAAAGGGGAACAAUUGUUCCUCAAACACUGAUCCAA